AGAAAACAACAUCUCCUGCAAGAAGUUUAGAAAAUCCAUUAAUGGAUUAAACUCUUUGUCAAGGAGAACAUUCUCCACUAGAACAUUCCAACAACCAUUCGCAUUAAAAGUAAAAAUAUCUUGAAAAUUUGAGCAGUUUCCCGUUGCCUCUUAUUUGAACUCAGUUCUGCAGAUUCUGUUAAAAAAUUUGGUUGUUAAUUCUUCGCUCUGUGUAUUAUCAGGUUAUGCAGGCCCUUCUGUCGUGUGAGUGUUAACAAGGCUUCGUGGGAUUGAAGUGAAACUGGGCUGAUGUUUAUGGAAGUGAUAUUUGAUAUGAAAAGUCUGAAUUGGUGUGGAUUCGUUAGAUUAACAUAAGAUUUAAAAUGUAUUUGGAAUGUGGAAUUGUAUUGUAGCAUGUAUGAAUAUGUGCUAAUUUGUUUGUACUUGAAAGAGUAUUCAAUGAAAAGUUAAAUUCAAAUUGAA
rnacentral:lncRNA from 1 species